rnacentral:rRNA from 1 species
UACAGAGGCCCCAAGCGUUAGGCGGAAUCACUGGGCUUAAAGCGUGUGUAGGCGGACUUCUAAGUACCUUGUGAAAUCCCACGGCUUAACCGUGGAACUGCUUGGUAUACUGGUCGUCUUGAGCCACUUAGGGGUUACCGGAACAAAUGGUGGAGCGGUGAAAUGCGUAGAUAUCGGAAGGAACAUCAGUGGCGAAAGCGACUUCCUGGACCAGUACCGACGUUCAGGCACGAAAGCGUGGGGAGCAAACAGG